rnacentral:rRNA from 14 species
UGGUUUAAUUCGAAGCAACGCGCAGAACCUUACCCGGGCUUGAAAUCCUGAGAACCUGUCCUAAAAGACGGGGUGCCCUUCGGGGAAUUCAGUGACAGGCGCUGCAUGGCUGUCGUCAGCUCGUGUCGUGAGAUGUUCGGUUAAGUCCGGCAACGAGCGCAACCCACAUCCUUAGUUGCCAGCAGUUCGGCUGGGCACUCUAGAGAAACUGCCCGUGAUAAGCGGGAGGAAGGUGUGGAUGACGUCAAGUCCUCAUGGCCCUUACAGGUUGGGCUACACACGUGCUACAAUGGUAGUGACAAUGGGUUAAUCCCAAAAAGCUAUCUCAGUUCGGAUUGGGGUCUGCAACUCGACCCCAUGAAGUCGGAAUCGCUAGUAAUCGCGUAACAGCAUGACGCGGUGAAUACGUUCCCGGGCCUUGUACACACCGCCCGUCACACCAUGGGAGUUGGUUCUACCCGACGACGCUGCGCUAACCCUUCGGGGAGGCAGGCGGCCACGGUAGGAUCAGCGACUGGGGUGAAGUCGGAACAAGGUAGCCGUAGGGGAACCUGCGGCUGGAUCACCUCCUU